GGUCCGUUGUCACAGCGGAGGGACAUUA
rnacentral:rRNA from 1 species